GAACGAGAAAGUGGAGCAAUCCAUGAGUAAAGUGGCGACCGGGUGAGUAACACGUGACCAAUCUACCCUUGAGUGGGGGAUAACCUCGGGAAACCGAGGCUAAUACCGCAUAAUAUCUUCGUGCAAACGAUGAUCAAAGGAGUAAUCCGCUUUUGGAGGGGGUCGCGGCUGAUUAGCUAGUUGGUAGGGUAAUGGCCUACCAAGGCGAAGAUCGGUAUCCGGCCUGAGAGGGCGCACGGACACACUGGAACUGAAACACGGUCCAGACUCCUACGGGAGGCAGCAGUGGGGAAUUUUGCGCAAUGGGGGAAACCCUGACGCAGCAACGCCGCGUGGAGGAUGAAGCCCCUUGGGGUGUAAACUCCUUUCGACCGGGAAAAUAAUGAUGGUACCGGUGGAAGAAGCACCGGCUAACUCUGUGCCAGCAGCCGCGGUAAUACAGAGGGUGCGAGCGUUGUUCGGAAUUAUUGGGCGUAAAGGGCGCGUAGGCGGUGUUGUAAGUCACCUGUGAAACCUCUAGGCUUAACCUAGAGCCUGCAGGCGAAACUGCAAUGCUGGAGGGUGGGAGAGGUGCGUG
rnacentral:rRNA from 1 species